AGAGGAAGUAAAAGUCGUAACAAGGUCUCCGUUGGUGAACCAGCGGAGGGAUCAUUACUGAGUUUACGCUCUACAACCCUUUGUGAACAUACCUAUAACUGUUGCUUCGGCGGGUAGGGUCUCCGUGACCCUCCCGGCCUCCCGCCCCCGGGCGGGUCGGCGCCCGCCGGAGGAUAACCAAACUCUGAUUUAACGACGUUUCUUCUGAGUGGUACAAGCAAAUAAUCAAAACUUUUAACAACGGAUCUCUUGGUUCUGGCAUCGAUGAAGAACGCAGCGAAAUGCGAUAAGUAAUGUGAAUUGCAGAAUUCAGUGAAUCAUCGAAUCUUUGAACGCACAUUGCGCCCGCCAGCAUUCUGGCGGGCAUGCCUGUUCGAGCGUCAUUUCAACCCUCAAGCUCUGCUUGGUGUUGGGGCCCUACAGCUGAUGUAGGCCCUCAAAGGUAGUGGCGGACCCUCCCGGAGCCUCCUUUGCGUAGUAACUUUACGUCUCGCACUGGGAUCCGGAGGGACUCUUGCCGUAAAACCCCCCAAUUUUCCAAAGGUUGACCUCGGAUCAGGUAGGAAUACCCGCUGAACUUAAGCAUAUGGU
rnacentral:rRNA from 1 species